rnacentral:rRNA from 1 species
CGCGUAGGCGGCCCGCUAAGUCGAACGUGAAAUCCCCGGGCUCAACCCGGGAACUGCGUCCGAUACUGGCAGGCUUGAAUCCGGGAGAGGGAUGUGGAAUUCCAGGUGUAGCGGUGAAAUGCGUAGAUAUCUGGAGGAACACCGGUGGCGAAGGCGGCAUCCUGGACCGGUAUUGACGCUGAGGCGCGAAAGCCAGGGGAGCAAAC